rnacentral:rRNA from 1 species
UAGAGAUUGAAAGAGGAUAGAGGAAUUCCUAGUGUAGAGGUGAAAUUCGUAAAUAUUAGGGGGAACACCAGUGGCGAAGGCGUCUAUCUGGUUCAAAUCUGACGCUGAGGCGCGAAGGCGUGGGGAGCAAACAGGAUUAGAUACCCUGGUAGUCCACGCUGUAAACGAUGAAUGUUAAAUAUGGGAAGUUUACUUUCUGUAUUACAGCUAACGCGUUAAACAUUCCGCCUGGGGACUACGGUCGCAAGAUUAAA